CUCUUUCUCUCUCUGUGUCGCUCAUGAAUAAAUAAAAUAUUUUUUAAAAAUUCCCUGUCCACUGACUGAGCACCUAUUAUGAGCCAAGUGAUGGGGACACACAUGGAUGUCACAAACACCAUCACUCUCCCAGCACACGAUCUGAAGGAGGAAUCUAACACAACUUCAAGGAGAAUGUGCCCCCUCCACGGAUGGAGGUAUGUCUUAGUGUUGGGUAAUCAGGAGCUAAUGCUGAAUGAAGGAGGAGCUGGAGCAAAUCGAACAUCCUAGACAGUGGGACAUCUACAGUGGGACAUCUCCGACAAUGGGCAGUGCAAAAGCCCUGGGGCAAGACACCAGCUGGCCACAUUGAUGGAGAGAGCAGUCACAGAGAGAGAGAGAAAGGCAGAGACACAGGCAGAGGGAGAAGCAGGCUCCAUGCACCGGGAGCCCGACGUGGGAUUCGAUCCCGGGUCUCCAGGAUCGCGCCCUGGGCCAAAGGCAGGCGCCAAACCGCUGCGCCACCCAGGGAUCCCUACCCUUCUUGUUUAAAACAACCUGCAACUCGGUUUCAUGUUUGGUCUUUACUUGAAGACCCAGGGAACUCCAAGCUAGUGGAUGAAACGGAAAGCCCCAAAGAAAGAAUAAAGGAGUUAAGCAGGAAGCAGAAAGGGGUGCUCGGCGGGCCGCAGGGAGGGGACCCACACCCCGUCCUCCGGGCGGGCACUGGCGUUUUCCAGUCUCCCAAGACCAUUUUACGGACGAGGAAACGCGUCGUCAGCUCCCUUCAGCAGCUGAUGCAGCCAGACCGACGGAGCCUGCUUUACGACCGGUGGCCCUGUUGACUGCACCCGGAGGCUGCAGUGUCCCCAGCUUCCCGCAGGCCCGGAAGAGCCGCGCAGCCCAGAGUUCCUUGAUUGACCGUCCAGAGUGAGCCCGGAAGGGCGCCCGAGCAAGGAGAAAACAACUCACACCACGUUCCCCCACCCCCGGCCGGGCCAGAGCCCUGCCCUUGCCCCAUGUAAUGUGCAUCUGCUGUAUACCCAGGCCCAGCACCAUCAUUCAGCCAUUCCAUCACCCUCUGUGGAGCACCUACUGUGUUGUGUGCAGGGCCUCUGUGGUAGGCCAGGGUUUUCCACCAUCCCUCAUCACCUCCUCAGUUGAUGCUCCCCUAUGGGCCAGGAAAUACCCACCACAAUGAAGAAGUCCGCUUUAGGCUGAUGUCACAAUUUCUCCUUUAGGUCGACCCCCUUUUCUGUUUUUACUUAAGUAAAUAUAUUUCAAAAGGGAAACUUAAUGUCACCACCAAGAAUGGAAAACCAGUUUAUCUUGCCAUAAAUAGAAAGAAAUUGAAAAAACGAUGAAAUGAGAGCAAAACCCAGGAAUUCCUUCCUCGGGGACACUCUGGGCCAGGCCCAGAGCGGGAAUGUCUAAAUAUCCAGAAAGCGUUAAAAGCAGGGAAGCCCCAAGCCAAGCCAAAGAAGGGUGCAGGAGAGGCCACGGGAAUCCACUUUGUGGUUUUGUUUCUGAGGGCCCCAGCACACAGUAGGUGCUCAAUAAUGUGCCAAGCCUUGGCAGUGAGCACCUACUAUGCGUGGGGUUUACCUGCAUCCACCAGCAUCCUUUCAGGGCCUUCGAGUUUAUAGACCCAUUUCCAGGGUCACAAAUGAAGGUGGUGGUGGUGGCAGGUAGCAGGGACCCCACAGGGCCUCUCUGGGGAGACUUCAGUUUGGUUCAGAUAAAUGGAAGCUCCCCGCUUCCGCCUCAAGACCUUGGGGCUGUCCCCACCCUCAGUCCUGUGGCUCCUGACAGGCUUCUGCAAUGAACUAUGGGCCCCUGACGUCCUGCUCAGGCUGCCCAGGGAUUGGGGGGGGAGGGGGGCGGAAUGUGUACAUCAAUGAAUAUGAAUUAAAUAAGUAAAUGAAUUAAUGA